rnacentral:rRNA from 1 species
UCUGGCUCACGCAAGUGAGCCCGCAGCUAAAGUUUCUCUGGCGACUGUUUACCAAAAACACAGCUCCCUGCUAACUCGUAAGAGGAUGUAUAGGGGGUGACGCCUGACCAAUGCGAGAAGGUUAACGGUGGCGGUGUGUGCAGCACUUAGUUUGUAAGUAAGUAACGCUUAUCAAUUAAGUGCUGUGCAUGCUAACUGCCCGAAGCCCUCGUCAAUGUCGGCGAUAACUAUAAUCGUCCAAAGGUAGCGCAACUCCUUGUCGGGUAAGUUCCGACGUGCAUGAAUGGCGUAACGACUGGAGAACUGUCUCAACGAGAAGCCCGGUGAAAGUGCGACACCAGCGAAGACGCUGGUACCCUAUAGCGGGACGAAAAGACCCCGGGAGCUUUACUGUAGCUUGAUAUUGGGUUUACGUUCUAAUUACGUAGCGUAGUGGGGAGAGGUUGAAGGUUUGAUUUCGGUUGGACUGGACUCGUCAAUGAAACACCCAUUUUUUAGAAUGUAUAUCCUAACCUUUGCGGAAAAACCGC